rnacentral:rRNA from 1 species
UGUGUAGGCGGUUCUCUAAGUUUGGUGUGAAAUCUCCCGGCCUAACCGGGAGGGUGCGCCGAAAACUGGAGGGCUAGAGUGCGGGAAGGGAGAGUGGAAUUCCUGGUGUAGCGGUGAAAUGCGUAGAUAUCAGGAGGAACACCGGUGGUGUAGACGGCUCUCUGGACCGUAACUGACGCUGAGACACGAAAGCGUGGGUAGCAAAACA